rnacentral:tRNA from 1 species
GCUUGUCUAGCUCAGUUGGUAGAGCGCAAGGCUCUUAACCUUAAGGUUGUGGGUUCUCAAGCCCUACUGUUAGCG